UUUGUUGAAAGGGAAGGGCAUUAGAUCAGACUUGGUGUUUUACGAUUAUCUUCUCUUCUUGAGUUGUGCACUCGUAUUUCACUGGGCCAGCAUCGAUUCGGAUGGCAAGAUAAUGGCAGUUGAAUGUGGCUUCACUUCGGUGGAGUGUUAUAGCUUCUGCUGAUAUGC
rnacentral:rRNA from 1 species